UGCACACGUUUAUGGGAAANCUUGAUUGC
rnacentral:piRNA from 1 species